UGUUGAUGACUCAGUCACUCGCUCGACUUCCUAAACGUAUUCCCUCAUCCAUCUUUGCUAACUGGAGUCCCUCUUCCCCUCAUCAACUUUCUGCUUCCUACCUCAAAAGCAUGACAUUUAUUUUUUCUCUUCGUGAAGGGUGAUCCAAGAACACAGAAUGCUCCAGAAGUUCCAGUUUGCCAUCAACUCACCAUCUGGGAUUAUAAACUCAAAAGAGAAAAAUAUCCAAGGGCAAUGGCAACUUUAUGGUGUGAAAAGAGACCUGAAGACACAGGCUCUUUGGAGAUGCAGGAAAGAGAAGCCGUUAGAUCAUCAAGAAGUGAGCUGAGACAACUUCAAGUUCAGCACCUACGGGAGUUGGAACCAAGGGAGAAGUGUCUCUUCGAAAAGUCAAAAACAGUGAGGGAGACCAAGAUGCAUAGAGCAAGAGAUGGGAUGAAACAUAUGCUGGUUUCUCAUGAAAGUUACAAAACUCUAUUGGGGUGUGUGUGUGUGUGUGUGUGUGUGUGUGUGUGUGUGUGUGUGUGUGUUUUGGGGGCAAUGCUGGUAAUGGGGAGCUCACAGUGUUAA
rnacentral:lncRNA from 10 species